rnacentral:rRNA from 1 species
AUUGAACGCUGGCGGAAUGCUUUACACAUGCAAGUCGAACGGCAGCACGGACUUCGGUCCGGUGGCGAGUGGCGAACGGGUGAGUAAUGUAUCGGAACGUGCCCAGUCGUGGGGGAUAACGUAGUGAAAAUUACGCUAAUACCGCAUACGAUCUAUGGAUGAAAGCGGGGGAUCGCAAGACCUCGCGCGAUUGGAGCGGCCGAUAUCAGAUUAGGUAGUUGGUGGGGUAAAGGCCCACCAAGCCAACGAUCUGUAGCUGGUCUGAGAGGACGACCAGCCCACCUGGAACUGAGACACGGUCCAGACGCCUACGGGAGGCAGCAGUGGGGAAUUUUGGACAAUGGACGCAAGUCUGAUCCAGCCAUUCCGCGUGCAGGAUGAAGGCCUUCGGGUUGUAAACUGCUUUUGUACAGAACGAAAAGGUUUCUACUAAUACUAGGAGCUCAUGACGGUACUGUAAGAAUAAGCACCGGCUAACUACGUGCCAGCCGCCGCCGUAA